ACGGCGGACGUCGAGGUGAUACGGGUGGAAUUUCGUAUUCUGCCUCGACGUCCGAUGAUGAAACUCAGCUGCAGGUAUUAAUCCGAAUAACUCCUCAGAACACUCUUCAUGGUGCGACGAGACUUGGUAUGUGAAAAAUUACACCUCAGUCCAAUAUUUAUGGGCGAUAUUCGGCAGCGGUCCCUUUGUGACAUCGACGUGUAUAAAUAACACUUCUUAUCGCGUGGGAGCUCAUCCUUAAUUUGGACUUAUUUUAAUUAUUUAUUGACAAAAGUAUAUAAUAGGGGCAGGAGGCUAAUCAAAUGUUAAAUUAUAUUGCCCGAUAUAAACACAUACAAAAUGAUACAAGCAAGUGCGUUGUAGUGGAAUAGUGGUGCGCAGCAAAAACUGCAUGAAGAGAUUUACCGAAACACUGUAAUUCGGGUAUGCCAUUUUAGAAAAUGUAAACUACGUUAUUUAGCUAUAAAUUUGACACGAAAGUUUCUCAGAAAGUCUACAAAAUUAUAACUGAAGACAAAAUCGCGUUUAGCCUGUUUAUACAGAAAAUAGAUGUCUUACAUAAAUGGAGGAAAGCAAGCAAUCAUAUUUGUAGUUUUCAACGUAACGUCAAUCAGCGAACAGACAGGCUUACGCAGUGGAAUAAUGCUUCGAUUAUCCAAACCGCUGCCUCAAAACAAAAGUUUAAGCGUUUUAUGGUACAACGAACUACGAACUUAAGAAUGGAGAUCGA